rnacentral:rRNA from 1 species
UUAAAUUGAAGAGUUUGAUCAUGGCUCAGAUUGAACGCUGGCGGCAGGCCUAACACAUGCAAGUCGGACGGUAGCACAGAGAGCUUGCUCUCGGGUGACGAGUGGCGGACGGGUGAGUAAUGUCUGGGAAACUGCCUGAUGGAGGGGGAUAACUACUGGAAACGGUAGC